rnacentral:lncRNA from 1 species
AGACCUGUCUUACAACAACAUCCAAACAAUAGAAUCUGAAGCGUUUGCUGAUCUGAAUUACCUUUAUGGAAUGUACGUUUUUAUCUAUCGACCAUCAUAGUUAUUUGAAUUAUUGCAGUUUCACACGUUUGUAUUUGAAACGGUUAUAUUUUCUAAACAACCUGAGGUUCAGUGGUUGUUGGUCGUUGAUGUGGUUCAUAAAUGUUUCUUGUUUUUUGUUUUUUAUAUAGAUAAAACCUUUGGGUUUUCCGUUGGAAUGGUUUUACACGCACCAUUUAGUCAUUGUUUUUAUAGCUUGCCGUUCGGUAUGAGCCAAGGUUACGUGGUGAAAACCGAAUUUUGCCCUAUAGUGCGUUAACGGAAAAAAAGCCGCAUCUUAUAGCUUUUUUAAACAGUAAACGCACAUUUACUGUUUGUUGUAAACGCGCGUUUACGCAGUUUCUCAUCGCAACCUGGAUAUACUGAACUAAUUGUAUUAAAAAAAAAAGUUAUUAUUUCGAAUUACGGUUUUUAACACAUAUAGGUGAAAUGAAAGGAUAAAAACAUUUCAAGAACAAAAAAAUCAAAUGCACACGAAUUGUAUUGUAUAUUUUAAACAAUAACUUGAAGUGCAUGUACAAACAUGAAGUAAACACCGGUUUACUACUGACUAAACGGACACAAAGUAAACGGGCGAUUACUCGGGUAGUUAUUAAACAUUCUCAUUUUGACUGCAUUAACGUUAUUAUAGUAAACGAGCAUUUACUAUUAUAUGAGAUAAUUGAAGUUAACAAACGAAAUGUGUGCACGCUGUGUUAAGGUGUGUUAACUUGUUGUAAUGCUUGGUCUGCACCCAACUGUGCCUAAUCGUCUGAACAACUUACAAUCGAAAUAACUAAACAGCACUGAAGUUACAAAUCUGAAAUAUGACGGAAUAAGUUAUUGUGCAAACUGUUGAGUGGCCAAACAGUAAUUCUUACACACGUCAGACUCAGUUUGUAAUCCUACAAAUCAAUACAAUUUUCAGAAAAAUGCACUUGUAAUACACAUCUUAAGUAUAUUGUUUCCAUCCGAAGGCAGACUGAACCUGUAGCGUAGUUUUACAUGAACCAACCAAAUUGUUUCGUCUAUCGUCGUCGAUCGUCGAUUGUCGUCUGCUACAUUUUAAAUAUACAUGCUCCUUUCUGAAACUUGUUUGCAGUUUUUGAUUUUAUAGAAAUGUUUCAUAACGGUUGACUUCAAACGAUCGAAGGCUCAAUUCAUGAAACGAAAUGGUAAGGUAUACAACGUGUUCUUAAAACGCCAAGCAGCACAUUGAUAUAGUUUUGGAUGCAUAAACUGCGGUAUAUGUGUAUCUAGGUCCAGAUUGAAAACAACAUUUUCGUUAAAGUGAUGACAAUAGAAAUUAAAUAAGCCAUUCAAAAUUACAGAACAGUCAAAGCUUUUAAUAAGGUCUGCUUAUCAUAAAGGUUAUGAAUUUUUACUUUAUGCCUUUUUUCCUUAAGAUAGCGAAAACAAUUUAUAAAACUUGUCCGUAUUAUCUAUUUAUGUUUUGAAAUACGUUAACAAUUGAAUAUUUAAUAUUUAUUAAUCAUGAUCCUCUCUGAACUAUUUAGACUACUAUUCGGAAGCAAUAUACAACGAAUUAAAACUGGAGCAUUCAAGAACCUGCCUAGUUUAGACUACAUGUAAGUUGUUUCAUCUGUUAGCAUACUUAGUUUUUAAGAUCGAAAACUAUGUAACUGGUGAUAAUACAUUUACAUACGUAUUAAUACAUAUACAAGUAUAGUUUACUUAAAUGCAAGUGUUAUGCAUAUGCAAUGUGUAAUUAACAUUGUCAUAGAUACUUUCUGCCGCUUAAAUAUGUUUGUUAAAUAUGCAUUUCUUACUUUGUCAAAUUUAAUUAAAAUUCAUGAUAGCUAUUCAAGCAUCAAGGAACCGGUCACUAUUUAUUGGGGGUGGGGGUUGGGGGGUUGGGUUGGGACCGGUGAAAUUGAUAUUUAUCCUUUAAAAAAAUGUAUGUCCUACCCUCUGAGUAUACCAUGAAAAAUUUCUGUCCUAUAACAUAUAAUGUUUUUUAAAGGGACAUUCUUUUUUUAAAAGUGAAAUAAUUCCUAACUAAUCCCAUACGGUAACUAACCCUAGAUGGUAUCUAAUCACAUAUUUUUAGGACAUCUAUAUCAUAUAUAUAUAUAGUCACCAAGGGUAUUCCGUUAACCAAUCAUAUCCCUAUAGAUUUAUAGUCAGCGUUUAAUAAUAAUACUAUGAUCGUAAUAUAUAACGUAAUACAUGUAUACUCAAACAUAGUAUGAUAAUAUUUCAGCUAUACAUAAUGUGUUACUUACGCAGAUCAAUUUGUUUGGGUGACUUUCAUAUAGUUAAUAAUCUUUGACACACUAAAACAAUUAUGACUUAUAAGUAAACAUUGUGUCAAUAUAUUUUCCAGAUAUCUUAAUGGUAAUAGGAAAACACAAAUUGACGGGAAUGCUUUCAGAAAUCUGUCGAAGUUUA